rnacentral:rRNA from 1 species
CUCCUACGGGAGGCAGCAGUGGGGAAUAUUGCACAAUGGGGGAAACCCUGAUGCAGCGACGCCGCGUGAGCGAUGAAGGCCUUCGGGUCGUAAAGCUCUGUCCUAAGGGAAGAUAAUGACGGUACCUUAGGAGGAAGCCCCGGCUAACUACGUGCCAGCAGCCGCGGUAAUACGUAGGGGGCGAGCGUUGUCCGGAAUUACUGGGCGUAAAGGGUGCGUAGGCGGCCUUGUAAGUCAGAUGUUAAAGCCCUCGGCUUAACCGAGGUAAGCAUUUGAAACUGCAGGGCUUGAGUACAGGAGAGGAGAGUGGAAUUCCUAGUGUAGCGGUGAAAUGCGUAGAUAUUUGGAAGAACACCAGUG